CCAGGAGGCGGGUCCAGAGACAGGGAAGAGAGGGAGGAGCUGACGUAAUCCGCUUGUAAACAAAUAAACCCGGAGUGGCGGCUGGAGACCCAGUUGCUGUGUCGAAGGACGGAGGGAAGCGAGGGUGCGCGUGUGAAAGCUCCGCCCCCAGCCCUAGCUCCGCCUUCCCGCUUCAGCAGGUCCAGGCUCUGCGCCAGUGCAUCCUUCUGCAAGAGUGCGCUGCCUGGGCCCGCUUGCCCUGGAGUUAACUUCACCAGUCAAUGAAGAGAAGAGUGGAAACCUUACUGGAUGCGGACAGGAGAGCCAGUUACUGAAGGCAAAUAUAAUAACGCAGAUCCUGUAAAGAGUGGUCUGUAUCCAAAAAAAAAAAAAAAAAAUCUGUACAAUGUAUUUUAAAAUUUGUGUACACAAAACCAAAGAUUUUUCUUUUUUACCUAGUCCAAAUGCCCUCCUAGCCUGAGUCCUGCUCUUUAUAAAAAUAAAAUAAAAAGAAUUUGAAGCUUGUGAAAGUAUUAAGUGUAGACAUUUUAAGUUUAUUUGAAACCCUACCAAAAAAAAAAAAAAAAAAAAAAAA